AUAAUUACAUAAUAAAAUAUUUAUUUUAUCUCAUCUAAAUACAUGACUAGUUCCACGUGCUGGCUUGGCGACCGCAAGCGUGGGCGCUGCCAUAGGCUCAUGCAUGCGGUUUGUUUGAGCACGCGUGGAGCAUGCACAUUGGACCACAAGCUCAACACAUGAGUAGGCAGCCUUAUUCGUUCGUGGACGUCUGUGUCCGAGCAUCGAGGAAUUUGCCUACCUCCAGUUUUCCCACGGGGUAUAUGGUCGCUUCGAUUGGUUUAUCACGGGACCUUAGAACACUAGUGGACAUGAGGGCUAAGUAUCUUGUAUGUGCAUUGCGACAUAUGUGUAUCCCAGAAUAGACUUGGGUUAUCUUCUUAGUCCGAGAUUUUCAGGUCAAAUCGUUUCUUAGCCAUGAGACCCGUUACCCUUCGAAUUUCUGACACUUUCUGGUGUCGUUUCUUCCUAGGUCGGGAUUCUUACUUGGUGGAUUUGGCCUUGUUGUUUAAUACUUGUCAGGGAAAGAGUAGCCUAGAGUAUUGUUACUUCACAAAUUCUUCUUUUGCUUCCUAGAAGUUCAUCAGUACUAGCCCACUUCUUGCCUUCCAUUGGUUUAGGUUUGUCAUCAGUGGGUAUCGCGUCGGAGGUCUAUAUGAAAAUGUCACUUAGUUUUGCUUCCCCAAUGCUAGGUAAGGUAUAUAGACUUCAAAAGUCAUUAUAUGGUCUAUG
rnacentral:lncRNA from 1 species